ensembl:lncRNA
GGGAGACCUGGGACCUGUCAAGUUGUAUUGUUCUGCUUUGUUUUGUUUUUAAAGGCAUGUUGCAGUUGAGUUCUUUACCUCUCUCCUAAAAUCUAAAGCUUCUUUUUUUUUCCUCUUCUAAAGUACUAUCAGGCAGUAACUUUGAGGAGAUACGGACCUCAUUUUAUCCUAGUAAAAAAUUUUCCUCUUUUUACUUGGAGUGAAAGAAAGGGGGCUGGAUAUAAUUUAAAGGUUAAAAUAAGGAGUAGCUACAAUAUAGAGAGCUAGAGAAAGGAACUGUUAAAUGGUGUGUUGUGACCUGCCCAUCUGUCAUAAACAAGGAAACAUUUCUGAGGUAGUUUCACACAUCUUGCACCAACCUCUUUCUUCCUGCUUUUCUUUCUUGACUAUUUCCUCCCUCAGUUUUCAUUUCUGCUUUAGCCAGAGAGAGUCACUACAGUUGACAAUUGAUAUGAAGGUGUAACUGAAAUGUUAUCAAAUAUUAUCCCUGUAUUUUUUAAUAAGUACACAUUUUUACCAUGGUGCCUCCCUAACGUAAGUGGCAUUUGUUGGUAGUUUUCAGCAAAAGUUAACUACAAGGGAAAGGGAAAUAUUUGUCUUUAUCUUUCUUUUCCCCUUGACCUAGUCCUGUAUUCACCCCUCUUCUUGGUAUUUCGAAGGAAGAAGUUCAGUAGCAUCUUUUUUUAUAUUAUACCUCUUUAGAUCUGUCUUAGUGACAAGUGGGUAUUCUUAUAUGUAUCUUUACAGAGAAACAGGAGGACCCGAUAAAUUCAAAUUUACCCCACUCUACAGAUAGCAGCCUGUCACAUUUCAAGGCUCAAUCCUUAACCUCACCUCCCACUCUCAAUAGAAAAUAAUGUUUCUGCCCUUAGUCAUUUUCCAUGAGAAAGGAAUGCUUUUCUUGUCCCUGAACUGAAAGGCUUCUUAUUUGUAUUUCUACAACUAGUACUGGGAAAAGGACAAUCACUGCAUUCUGAGUGUUUAUAUCUUUAUAUCUAGGGACACUGAAAGGCAAAUGUUGCUUUACUACUCUUUUUUAUUUAGUGUCUUACCCCAAGGUACACACUGGUCAUCUCCAGCCAGAUGAGUAAAAAAAAAGGAAAUUCUAGCAAGUUUCAUAUUUUCUUCCAAGUUAGUAUAGGAGUAACUGUAGGAAGUAUGGGGAUUGCUCUGGAUUCCUCCAGCGAAAUAUUAAAGAUGGGAGAGAGUGGGCAGUGUAGUGACAGAAGAUGAUUAUUUGUCUCAAAAGAAACUUGCUUUUCAGAUAAAGAGCGUUUCAGAUAAAGAGCAGCUUAAACCAGGUGUGCAUCAUAGUUUGGGAGUUUUUGUGUAAUUUAUUCCAUAUUAUUUAUUUGGGCUCGUCAUGUUUUCUUUGGUUAGGAUCCUGCAAGUCAUUCAUCUUCCUAAUGCGUUUCUGGUUUUAAGCCAACUGUUCUUUCUUUCUUUGACUUUCUCAAGCCUCUCUGUCCUGUAGCUUCCCCCCGCCGCCCCCCCGCAAAAAUGCAUGAUACCAUGACCUUGUAAGUGGGGUGGGGUAUAUAGUGUAGCAAAGCAAAGAAACAGUACAGUUAUAUUGAGUCCUAAGACAUUUGUUUAGAGAAAAGUAUAAGAGAGUGUGAAGAUGGGGGUGGGGGGAGGGAAAGGGAGAGUUCUCUCUGACUCGAAACUGGGAUAGGUUUUUUCUUCCUUUGCAGAAAAGUGGGAUGUUUUUUUAUUCUAGAAUAAAAGAAUGUGAAUUCUUUUUGCUGCUCUCGUUUAAGCUAAAAGUAGUGUUUACUUGAAAAGGCUCUCUGACCAUUUGAUUUUAUCAGAAAAUGCGGGGUUGUCAAGACAGUGGCUUCCUGAAUGUUGGGGCAGGGCUAUUGUCCUCAAAAGCAUGAUAGCUAAUCCAUGAAAGAAGGACCUUGUUGUACAGUUUAAAAGAUGGACUUUUAAGGGUUGGUUUUUUUGUGGAGUGUUUUUUUUUUUUUUUUUUAAGCCACAAAAUCCUCAGUGCAUUUGUUUCAAGAUGGAAGUGAGGAUUUGUAUGUGACUUGUCAGCUGUUGUUAACUUUAAGGAAAUCUGUCUACAGCAGUAAAUGAAGACAACAAUGUAUAUAUGUGAUAUAGUGAAACAAAAAAGACAAUUCUGGUAUUCAUAACAUGAAACAAAGGGGUUUUAUUCUUUCUUUGUCUGUGAUUUAAAACUCCGUGCCCAUGCUCUGACUUUUGUAUUUCAACCUGAGUUUAAAAAAUAAACAAGAUUUUUUUAAAGAAAGCAUAGCAUAGUGUAUCUUGGCAAGGACAUGAUUCAUAUGCAAGCAGAAUAUGUGAAGUUGUUACUAACGUCCUUGGUGCUCACUGUAAAAUCACAGACAGAGAAUCAGUGGGUGGGGGCCAUGAAUACACUGGUACCACUUAAAACACAGUGAUACAGUAUCAGAAAUUGAGUCCUUGAGUAUUUUGUAAGAGUUUACUCUUCAGUCAGCUUAGAUGAAACCUGUCUCCCUGCUCCCCUCUGCCCUCCCAAAAGUUGAGAAUAAACAGAAUUUGGUUUGUUUCCAGGGAGGGUAAAAUGAUAAGAGAAUAGGCCUUUUAUCCUUUCCGAUCCCAGGAGUACAAUGUUUGUGAUAUAUAUGGUACAGCAAACCUAUCUAGAUAAUGUGAAUAUGCUAAACUUCUAAUCGCAAAAUAUUCACUAUCAAUCCUGAAGUUACUGGUUCAUGCAGAAUUAAGCUUCAGCUGUUAUUGUUUUGAAGCCGCUGUAAAUUACUGCUUUUUCCCCUUUUUUUCUUCCCCUCCUCCCCCUCCCCCCUUUUUUCGAAUGGGCUGGGGUGCCUGUUAAGAUUAAAAUUAGAUAUGUUGGAUUGAUAUUCUCACGUGUUCAGUGUGGAAAACAAAACAAGUACAUGCUUUAGAGGCAACAACAAUGAAAUCCUUUUGAAAUGUGUAUUAAUAUCAUUUAAUAAAAUAACUAGUUCU